rnacentral:rRNA from 1 species
GACGAACGCUGGCGGCGUGCUUAACACAUGCAAGUCGAACGGAAAGGCCCUGCUUUUGUGGGGUGCUCGAGUGGCGAACGGGUGGGUAACACGUGAGUAACCUGCCCUUGACUUUGGGAUAACUUCAGGAAACUGGGGCUAAUACCGGAUAGGAGCUCCUGCUGCAUGGUGGGGGUUGGAAAGUUUCGGCGGUUGGGGAUGGACUCGCGGCAUAUCAGCUUGUUGGUGGGGUAGUGGCUUACCAAGGCUUUGACGGGUAGCCGGCCUGAGAGGGUGACCGGCCACAUUGGGACUGAGAUACGGCCCAGACUCCCACGGGAGGCAGCAGUGGGGAAUAUUGCACAAUGGGCGGAAGCCCGAUGCAGCAACGCCGCGUGCGGGAUGACGGCCUUCGGGUUGUAAACCGCUUUCGCCUGUGACGAAGCGUGAGUGACGGUAAUGGGUAAAGAAGCACCGGCUAACUACGUGCCAGCAGCCGCGGUGAUACGUAGGGUGCGAGCGUUGUCCGGAUUUAUUGGGCGUAAAGGGCUCGUAGGUGGUUGAUCGCGUCGGAAGUGUAAUCUUGGGGCUUAACCCUGAGCGUGCUUUCGAUACGGGUUGACUUGAGGAAGGUAGGGGAGAAUGGAAUUCCUGGUGGAGCGGUGGAAUGCGCAGAUAUCAGGAGGAACACCAGUGGCGAAGGCGGUUCUCUGGGCCUUUCCUGACGCUGAGGAGCGAAAGCGUGGGGAGCGAACAGGCUUAGAUACCCUGGUAGUCCACGCUGUAAACGGUGGGUACUAGGUGUGGGGUCCAUUCCACGGGUUCCGUGCCGUAGCUAACGCUUUAAGUACCCCGCCUGGGGAGUACGGCCGCAAGGCUAAAACUCAAAGGAAUUGACGGGGCCCCGCACAAGCGGCGGAGCAUGCGGAUUAAUUCGAUGCAACGCGUAGAACCUUACCUGGGUUUGACAUGGAUCGGGAGCGCUCAGAGAUGGGUGUGCCUCUUUUGGGGUCGGUUCACAGGUGGUGCAUGGCCGUCGUCAGCUCGUGUCGUGAGAUGUUGGGUUAAGUCCCGCAACGAGCGCAACCCUUGUUCACUGUUGCCAGCACGUUAUGGUGGGGACUCAGUGGAGACCGCCGGGGUCAACUCGGAGGAAGGUGGGGAUGACGUCAAGUCAUCAUGCCCCUUAUGUCCAGGGCUUCACGCAUGCUACAAUGGCUGGUACAGAGAGUGGCGAGCCUGUGAGGGUGAGCGAAUCUCGGAAAGCCGGUCUCAGUUCGGAUUGGGGUCUGCAACUCGACCUCAUGAAGUCGGAGUCGCUAGUAAUCGCAGAUCAGCAACGCUGCGGUGAAUACGUUCCCGGGGCU